rnacentral:rRNA from 1 species
UACAGAGGGUGCGAGCGUUAAUCGGAAUUACUGGGCGUAAAGGGCGCGUAGGCGGUGAUAUGAGUGUGAUGUGAAAGCCCUGGGCUUAACCUAGGAAGUGCAUCGCAAACGAUAUCGCUGGAGUACAGGAGAGGGUGGCGGAAUUUCCGGUGUAGCAGUGAAAUGCGUAGAGAUCGGAAGGAACGUCAAUGGCGAAGGCAGCCACCUGGCCUGAUACUGACGCUGAGGCGCGAAAGCGUGGGGAGCAAACAGG